AGUUGCGCUGUGAGCACAAAGCGAACUAUUCUUUCGCCUUUUACUAAAGAAUAUCGUGUGCGCGCCGCAAAUAGCAGCAUACAAGAUCUACCGCAGGUGCAGACUUGUCGUGCCCA